GUCAGGUUAGUCAGGUAGUCAGGUAGUCAGGUAGUCAGGUAGUCAGGUUAGUCAGGUUAGUCAGGUAGUCAGGUAGUCAGGUAGUCAGGUUAGUCAGGUAGUCAGGUUAGUCAGGUAGUCAGGUAGUCAGGUUAGUCAGGUAGUCAGGUAG